GUGCUUUCUUUGGCAGCACAUAUACCAAAAUUGGAACCAUACAGAAAAGAUUAGGGAUACCCCUGUGAAAGAAAGCCAAGCAAAUUUGCAAAAUGUUCCAUACUUUU
ensembl:snRNA U6 U6 spliceosomal RNA